GCAGCUGACUCAGUGUUGAGAUAUCAGCCAUCAAUACAUGAAUCGGACAGGAUGAGAGGAAGAGGAAAGAGGAGGCUGAACAGAGGUCCUGGCUGUUAAGUGACAGAAUGGACAUUUCCUCCUUGAAUGUGAGCAAAUGAGUUGACACAGGAAAAGCCUGACUCAGAGCCACUUCCACGGGAGCGAUAAAUUGGAAAUGUAAUCUGGCUUCACAUAGGAGGGAUUUUUUUUCCUGGAGAAAAAACACUCUGCCAGGAGUGAGAGAACUGAAGGACUGAGGACAUCUUUUCAUUUCACAAAGUCAAGUGUCACAAUCUAAGGCACUUCUAAAAUAUUAUAUGUUAUAUAUGUAUGUAUAUAUAAAGUAUAUAUUAAACACAUAUAUAUCCUCUGCUCACAACAUCAUCAGUGUAACACAAGUACCCCAUGUAUGGUUAGUAAAGUAGAAUACUAAUAUAACCCUGCUAGAGAUUAUUAUCAUUUGUUUUCAUGUAAGUUUUGUAUGUAGACCCAAUGAAGUAAUGAUAACUUUGAGAGAAAUUACAUACAUGAAGAUGUCCCUUGCCAGGGUAUAAUGCUAAAAUGGAAUAAUAAAGAAAUUUUGCCACAA